GAAUACAUCUUAAUGAAUAAAAAGCUACCAUCUACUAUUCCCAGUCAUUUGAGGCUUUCUUCAGACUAUAAGGACUUUCCAAAACACCUAAUCCCUGAUGAGACAAUGUGCUACCACUGCUCAGACCGCACAUUGCUCAGUGAUCCUGUCUGCAUUACACGUAAAGCGAAAAUUCUUACAACUACAGGAAUUGUCCAAGAUAUUUCAACCCAUUAAAAAUUUUGUCCUUUCUGUGGAAUGGUGUACCGUUACCAAGAGUGGGCUAAUGGUUUGCAUAACUUCAAUGACCAUGUCCUCCUUGAACUCUCUCUCUGCCUCACCAUAAGAAACCUGUUGCAGGUGCAUACAGCAGUCAGCAGAGUAGUGGAGUACUUGGAGGUAACUACAGGU